AACGAACGCUGGCGGCAUGCCUAACACAUGCAAGUCGAACGAGACCUUCGGGUCUAGUGGCGCACGGGUGAGUAACGCGUGGGAACCUGCCCUUAGGUUCGGAAUAACUCCCCGAAAGGGGUGCUAAUACCGGAUAAUGUCUUCGGACCAAAGAUUUAUCGCCUUUGGAUGGGCCCGCGUUGGAUUAGCUAGUUGGUAGGGUAAAAGCCUACCAAGGCGACGAUCCAUAGCUGGUCUGAGAGGAUGAUCAGCCACACUGGGACUGAGACACGGCCCAGACUCCUACGGGAGGCAGCAGUGGGGAAUAUUGGACAAUGGGCGAAAGCCUGAUCCAGCAAUGCCGCGUGAGUGAUGAAGGCCUUAGGGUUGUAAAGCUCUUUUACCCGGGAUGAUAAUGACAGUACCGUGAGAAUAAGCUCCGGCUAACUCCGUG
rnacentral:rRNA from 1 species